UACGUAGGGGGCAAGCGUUGUCCGGAAUCAUUGGGCGUAAAGAGCGUGUAGGCGGCUCGGUAAGUCCGCUGUGAAAGUCCAGGGCUCAACCCUGGAAUGCCGGUGGAAACUGUCGAGCUAGAGUCCGGAAGAGGCGAGUGGAAUUCCCGGUGUAGCGGUGAAAUGCGCAGAUAUCGGGAAGAACACCCGUGGCGAAGGCGGCUCUCUGGAACGCAACUGACGCUGAGACGCGAAAGCGUGGGGAGCAAACAGG
rnacentral:rRNA from 1 species